AUUGAACGCUGGCGGCAUGCUUUACACAUGCAAGUCGAACGGUAACAGGGUGCUUGCACCGCUGACGAGUGGCGAACGGGUGAGUAAUGCGUCGGAACGUGCCGAGUAGUGGGGGAUAACGCAGCGAAAGUUGUGCUAAUACCGCAUACGUACUGAGGUAGAAAGUGGGGGACCCUCGGGCCUGCCGCUAUUCGAGCGGCCGACGUGUGAUUAGCUAGUAGGUGAGGUAAAGGCUCACCUAGGCGACGAUCAGUAGCGGGUCUGAGAGGAUGAUCCGCCACACUGGGACUGAGACACGGCCCAGACUCCUACGGGAGGCAGCAGUGGGGAAUUUUGGACAAUGGGCGAAAGCCUGAUCCAGCCAUGCCGCGUGUCUGAAGAAGGCCUUCGGGUUGUAAAGGACUUUUGUCAGGGAGGAAAUCCCUAGUGCUAAUAACACUGGGGGAUGACAGUACCUGAAGAAUAAGCACCGGCUAACUACGUGCCAGCAGCCGCCGCUGUAA
rnacentral:rRNA from 1 species